rnacentral:lncRNA from 1 species
UAUUUUCUUUAUAAAGCCUCUUUUAGGUCAAAUCGAGAUAUUGGAAUUUCAUAUCUAUAUGUCGAUUUGAUCUUUGCAUCGCUUGGAGUUCUCUUCCCUGGCUUUUAUCGAUACUCUAAGCGAAGGAUCACCAUAGCAUGAUGCUCUUCAUGAACGGUGUCAUGGAUUCGGCAAUGUUGAAGGUGAUUCGUGGAUUCGGAUCGUUGGCUCGUGGAUUCGAGUGGCGUCGUGGAUUCGGCGUGAUAGAAGCUUCGUGUAUUCGAAGUGGAGGCGUUCGUGGAUUCGAACGUGAGGGCGUGGACAACCCAGAGGAUUGCGUGAGAUUUAUAGGAAGUUAAGAGAGGUUGAGUCCGUGGAGUCGGUAAUCACCUUGUAAUCUUUUCUUUUAGUGAAUUAUUUUUUCGCAUGUUUGUCCCGUGGGUUUUUCUCCAAGUUGGAGUUUUCCCACGUAAAUCUCGGUGUAAUUUUUAUUUUCCGCAUUUAUUUUUAUCGCAUUGAGAUUUGUGGUUUUUGGCUAUUACACCUAUUCACCCCCCUCUAGGUGUUAGAUACAAUCUAGAUAGAUCCUUGGGCACCCCAUAACUUUCAAUUGGUAUCAGAGCGGGAUCUAGAUAAAUUGUUAUCUAAUGGCCGAAGGCGGAAACAUUAAUUGACCAUCGCUCUUCAAUGGCACAAACUAUGCCUAUUGGAAAGUUCACAUGAGAGCUUUUCUAAUCGCAAUCGAUGAGCGCGUUUAGCAAUAAAUAGAAUUUGGAUGGAAACAUCAUAUUGAAAAGGUCGAGAAUGUUGAAACGCCAAAACCAUGAAACAAGUGGACAAAAGAUGAAAACAAGGCAUCUUCGUUUAACGGCAAGGGCAUAAACGCUUUAUUUAAUGCAUUGUCUCAAACGGAGUUUACUCGUGUUUCAGCGUGUGGAACCGCCAAAGAAAUUUGGGAUACUCUAUAAGUUACGCAUGAAGGAACGAGCUUACUAAAGGUCCAAAAAUUGCAAAUGUUAACAAGUAAAUUUGAUUCAAUUUUUAUGGACGAAAAUGAGACCUUUACCGAGUACUAUACGCGUCUACAAAACGUUGUGAAUACAUGCGCUAACUUGGGAGAGAAAAUUCCGGAUGCUAAAGUUGUUAGAAAAAUACUUAGAACUCUUCCAGAACGGUUUCGGGCUAAGGUAGCGUGAUCAAAACGGUUAAGCAUCCGGAUGAGAUGAAAGUAGAGGAGUUAGUAGGUGCUUUGCAAACUUAUGAAAUGACUUUUCCUACUAAUCAAUUUUCUUCCAAGUCUUCUCCUAAAAGUACAUGGUUGCACUCAAAUCGACAAAGAAAGAAGACGACGACUCUGAUUCCGACGGAGAUAUUUUGCUCGCCGAUUUCGAACAUCAAUUAGCGCUCCUAAUGAAGAAGUUCCGACGGAAUUUUUGAAAAAAUAGAUCGGACAAGGCUUCAUCCUCUAAGCAAAAAUUCUUUUCUAAGCAUUCUCCUAAUUCUAAAUCUAAGGAUAAAAAACUUGCAAAGUCUUCAAAAGAAAAAGAUGAAUUUGAAGGAAAAAUCCAAUGCUACAAAUGCAAAGGCUACGGACACAUUGCAACGGAUUGUCCUUCUAAGAAGACUUAUGAACAAAAGGCUUUGCAAGCAAAGACUUGGGAUGACUCUUCCUCUAGUGAAUCAUCUUCAAGUGACGAAGAAAAGAGUGAUCAUGUUGCUUUAUUUACUAACACUUCUUUAUCUUCGUCUAACGUUGUUUGUUUAUCCUCUAUUGCUACUAAUUCCAAUGUUUCUCUUUCUUCGCAUGACUCUUCGAGCGACAAUGGCGAAAGCGAGGAGGAAUCAAACGACGAGGACUUAGCGGAAGCGUAUAAUCAACUCCUUAUUGAAUAAAAAAAGAUGGCCAAGCAUAAUAAGAAGUUGAGGCGUUGUCUAUUGGACAUUGAGAAAGAAAACAAAAAUUUGAAGAUUACAAAUAAAGCUCUUGAGAAGGAAAGGGAAUCAAUUUUGAAAAAUAAUUCGGACCUUCAAAAGAAGCUUGAUGAAGCGGAAACAAUGAUCAAAUAUUCUAAUGAUAAGAUUGGUUUUCUAGAACAACAACAUAAAGAAAUUCGUUCAUCCAAUCAAGUGUUGACUAAACAAGUUUAUCAACUUAACUCCGACAUUCAAAAAUUUUCUUCCGAAUCGAAGAAAUUGGAUCAUAUGCUAGGAUUGGGUCAAACGAACAAGCUUGGUCUUGGUUAUGAAAGGACAUAUGUUGAGAAGGAUCAAACGGCGAUAUCUAAAGUCUCAACAACUUUGAAAGAGAAGGUGUGUCAUAAAUGUGGCAUCAAAGGACACAUCAAAAAGAGUUGUCCAAACAAGGAUUUGAAACGUCAAUCCGUAUUCUCUAAACCUCAAUCGGCAUCAUCUACAACUCGACAUCCCCCACGGAAUCAAAAGCAAAAUCAUUUAAGUCAAACGCCUCUAGGGAACCGGUUUUCUAAUGCACAAUGUUAUGUUCGACCGAACCCAAAAGCAAACCGGAUUUCUAAGCCUCAACGACAAGUUCAACCGAAGCCUGAAGCAACGAAACGACAAACGGUUGAUUCAAAAUCAAAACAAAUUGUGAUUAACGUCGACAAACCAAGACAACCAACAAUCCGACAAGUUUGGAUCCGAAAAGGUGAUAUCUUUCCUUGCUCUUUAUCUUAGUUUGUUCUAUUGUUUAUAUAAUGCUUUGUUUGGUGCUUAUUGCAUAUUUUUAUUCAUUGCAUUACAUGUUUAGACGAUUUUUGGUGCUUGAAAUUUAUUUGUUUCAAAAUUAUUUUGAGGAAAGGUGAUUUGGAAUUUAAAAAAAAACUCUUUCUUUGAGAUAGGAGAUGAUUGAAAAUCUUACUUUAGGGAGUAUUUUAAAUGUGACUUAACCAGAAUUCAAAUUGAAUUAAAUUCAUAUUAAUUAUCGGUUUUACUCUACUUUUUAUUAUUUUGACGAUAAUUUAUUAUAUGAAUUCUUAAUACACAUAUUCAUCAAAAUUUUGAAAUCAAAUUUGAUCUCUUGGUGAUUAAUUCAUCUUGGUUGUGUGUGUUGGAUAUGAUGGAUGGAUAUUCUCUNGGUGAUUAAUUCAUCUUGGUUGUGUGUGUUGGAUAUGAUGGAUGGAUAUUCUCUAAUUGACUAAAAUUCGUCAAAAUUAUUUUCAAUUGUGAGAUUGUCUAAUUUAUGGGGAGUUUUGAAUUAUUUAAAAAAUAUACAUAUAUAAAAAAAGGGAAACUCCUAUGUUUAAAAGAUGUGGAAAAAGCUACAUCCAAAAGGAGUGUGAAACUACCACCACAUGUAGAAAAGAGCUACCACCCCGGUCGUCCGGUACGUGUGUGAAGCUACCACAUGAAGAUUGAAUUAAAUAACCGAAAAGGUUGAAAAAAAAUAAAUAUUUUAGAAUUUUCGGAGUUGUAAGGUGUUAGAAUGAAAAGAUGCUCAAAAAGCCACCCCCGGUGCUAUAUUAGUUAAAUCUCUAUUUUGAACGAUUUGCGACAAAUUGAGGUCAAUUUGGUUGAAUUUCUAAAAAUCAUUUUUCAUGAACCGUUACAUCUUGAUGGUUUUGAAUCAUUAGAUUAUUUUUGAUAACAUAAUUUUGAUGAUUCGAUGCAUUUUGAAAUCCUAUAAUAUUUUAUCUUCAUCAUAAUAAUUUUUGGAGUAUAAUUUUUAAUUUUUAUGAAAUUAAUAUAUUUUGAGGAUUGUCGGAAGGCCGUGUUAUAUAGCCUCUUGGCAAGUUUUGGCACGUCAAUCUCGAGUGCUGCAACGAAUCAAAUGAUGUGUGCUUUGCUUUUCUUUCAUUCUCUUUUAGGCCUAUGACUAUGACAUGACUACUCUUAUACUUUCUAAUAAGUUUUCUCUUUAUAUGCUUUGUCUUUGGCAAUUUUUGAGAAAAAGGGGGAGAGCAUAGAUGAACAAGUGUUGAUCGAGAACAAAGGAGAAUAAGGAAUAAAAUCAAAGGAGAAGAGGAUGAAUUCAAGAACAAAGGGGGAGAUGUGAUCAUCGAGAACAAAUGUGGAGAAGGUAUAAGAAUAUAAUGUUGUUAAGGUGGAGAUGUGAUCUACAUUGUUUUUGGAUAAAUUGUUUUGCAGGAAAUCAAGACUUCAAGACUCCUAAUUGUGUCUAAGUCAUAGAGUCUGUUUUAGGAGUUUUGAUGUACUUUUGCAUUUCAUAUUGUAUUUGGAUCACAUGCGAGGGGUUCAAUGUUUUGGUGAUGACAAUUGAACUUCGUUUUUCUUUAAGAUGUAAUUUUUGAGUAGUUGUGAGUUUUGUUACGAAAUUGCCAAAGGGGGAGAUUGUUAAGUCUUGUGUGUUGGCAAGUUUCGUGAAGUGAGUCGGAGUCGUGAAGGAUCGAUAUGUAUCGUCGAAGAUUGAAGAAUCCAAGACUUCGAAGAGAUUGGAAAAUAACUCACGACGUGAAUCACGAUGCUCAGGUAAAGUUUUAAUUCAUGUUAUGGUGAUUCAUACUUAAUUAUAGGCAUUAGAAUCAUAUAAUCAAAGUUUAGUGGAUUAGAAAGUGUAUUGGAACUUUGCGAAACCUGAAACGUGAAAAGAAUCUAAAAACUACACUGUGUAUGGGUACACAUUGAAAGUGUUAUCGGUUACAAACUGUGUACGGGUACAACCAUCAACAUGUUACCGGUUACAAACUGUGUACGGGUACAACCAUCAACAUGUUACCGGUUACAAGGCUGUUUUGAUUUUCUGUUCCGUCAUCGUGUAAGCGAUAACAGCUUAAGUGUGUACCGGUACACAAUGUAAGAUUUUCUGUUCCGUCAUCAUGUACCGGUGACAGCCUCACGUGUAUCGGUACACAAUGCAAAUUUCGGGAAAAGCUUUCUAAUCUGACUCCGAUUGAUUCUAAAUCCUAUAAAUAAGCUAUUGGGGUUCUCUAACUCAUCAUGCAUCACAAAAAUACAUAUUUGAGAAACCCUAGAGACUUGGAAUUCAUCAAAAACCUAUUUUCUUCAUAAAGCCUCUUUUAGGUCAAAUCGAGAAAUUGGAAUUUCAUAUCUAUAUGUCGAUUUGAUCUUUGCUUCGCUUGGAGUUCUCUUCCCUGGGUUUUAUCGAUACUCUAAGCGAAGGAUCACCAUAGCAUGAUGCUCUUCAUGAACGGUGUCGUGGAUUCGGCAUAAUUGAAGGCGAUUCGUGGAUUCGGAUCGUUGGCUCGUGGAUUCGAGUGGCAUCGUGGAUUCGGCGUGAUAGAAGUUUCGUGGAUUCAAAGUGGAGGCGUUCAUGGAUUCGAAAUUGAGGGCGUGGACAACCCGGAGGAUUGUGCGAGAUUCAUAGGAGGUUAAGAGAGGUUGAGUCCGUGGAGUCGGUAAUCACCUUGUAAUCUUUUCUCUUAGUGAAUUAUUUUUUCGCGUGUUGGUCCCGUUGGUUUUUCUCCAAGUUAGAGUUUUCCCAUGUAAAUCUCGGUGUAAUUUUUAUUUUCCGCAUUUAUUUUUUUCGCAUUGAGAUUUAUGUUUUUUGGCUAUUACACCUAUUCACCCCC